rnacentral:tRNA from 1 species
GGAGGUGUGACUCAGGGGUAGAGGACUUGCCUAGCAAGCAUCAGGUCCUGAGUUCAAAUUCCCAGUAUUUCCU